AGUAACGCGUGGAUAACCUGCCUCAUACAGGGGGAUAACAGUUAGAAAUGACUGCUAAUACCGCAUAAGCACCCGGGAGCGCAUGCUCCUGAGUGAAAAGCUCCGGCGGUAUGAGAUGGAUCCGCGUCUGAUUAGCUGGUUGGCGGGGUAACGGCCCACCAAGGCGACGAUCAGUAGCCGACCUGAGAGGGUGGCCGGCCACAUUGGGACUGAGACACGGCCCAAACUCCUACGGAAGGCAGCAG
rnacentral:rRNA from 1 species